UCGGAAUUUUAUGAACACACU
rnacentral:piRNA from 1 species